rnacentral:lncRNA from 1 species
GCCUUCCCCCUGUCUGAAAUUUCGCCAUAGAUUACGCCAAAGGAGUUUCAUUUUCCCGCCAGAAAAUACGGAGGUUCGAUUUUGGAAAAGGCUAUCUGUGAAAUCUUCCAGGGGUAAUUGAAGAUUAUCUCAACACAUUUUAUUGAAAAAGGCAGUCUGAACAACUAUAUGCAAGUUUUAUGUAAAAACAGAAUCGGAUCUAGAAAAGCAUUUAAGAAGUACUCGUUUUGUAAAACAGUUCAUAUAUCCUUGACCUCAGCUGGAACAACUGAAGUUUAAAUAUGACUUUCAAGAGAUUAAUAAAAUGUGCCUCUGAUCUCAAUACCUCACCAAGUGACUGCUCUCUUCAGCAUAUAUACAAGACUAUUCUUCAGAACGCGUUGCCAGUUUUCAUUUGUCAUGAUAAUUAGUAUCUAAUUAUAUUAUUGUAUAUAUUACAUCAUCUGUAAUAUUUCAUUAAUAAAUUAUUCCAAAAGUGAA